GGGGCAAAAAAGGGGGGAAAUAGUGGGGUUAGAGGGGGGGGUUGUGGGAUUUUAUGGGGUUUAGGGGGGACUCAGAGGGUUUGAGGGGGUCCUAUAGGGCUGGGGGGGUUCUAAGGGGCUUGGGGGGGCAAUACAGUGGGGUCCUAUGGGGCUGGGGGGUGCCGAUGGGGUUUGGGGGUUCCUAUAGGGUUUGGGGGGCAAUACAGUGGGGUCCUAUGGGGUUGGGGGGCAAUACAGUGGGGUCCUAUGGGGAUGUGGGGGUCCUAUGGGGUUUGGGGGGCAAUACAGUGGCGUCCUAUGGGGUUUGAGGUGGUCCUAUAGGGUUUGGAGGGGUUAUACGGGGUUUUGGGGGGUCAUAUGGGGCUCUGGGGUCCUAUGGGGUUUGGGGGGGUCCUAUGGGGUUUUGAGGGGUUCUAUAGAGUUUGGGGGGCAAUACAGUGGGGUCCUAUGGGGAUGGGGGGGUCUUAUGGGGUUUGGGAGUGUUAUAUGGGGUUUUGGGGGGUCCUAUGGGGCUGGGGGGUUCUAUGGGGCUGGGGGGAGUCCUAUACAGUUUAGGGGGGAAAUACAGUGGGGUCCUAUGGGGUUUGGGGGGUCUUAUUGGAUUUGGGGGGACAAUACAGUGGGGUCCUAUGGGGAUGGGGGGGGGCUAUGGGGUUUUGGAGGGGGUCCUAUGGAGUUUGGGGGGCCCUAUGGGGUUUUGGGGGGUCCUAUGGGGUUUGAGGGGUCCUAUGGGGUUUGGGGAGGUCCUAUGGGGUUUGGGGGGGUCCUAUGGGGUUUGGGGGGCCUAUGGGGUUGGGGGUGUCCUAUGGGGUUUGAGGGUGUUCUAUAGGGUUUGCGGGCAUUCUAUGGGGCUGGGGGGGGUUCUAUGGGGUUUGGGGGGGUCCUAUGGGGCUGUGGGGAGUCCUAUAGAGUUUAGGGGGGGCAAAUACAGUGGGGUCCUAUGGGGUUUGGGGGGUCCUAUUCGAUUUGGGGGGGCAAUACAGUGGGGUCCUAUGGGGAUGGGGGGUGCCUAUGGGGUUUUGGAGGGGGUCCUAUGGGGUUUGGGGGUGUUAUAUGGGGUUUUGGGGGGUCCUAUGGGGCUGUGGG
rnacentral:lncRNA from 1 species